AUGGUUUCUGUGCCAGAGUUUUUCUUCCUUUGGGAAGAAGAUCGAGAUUCAAAGUCAAUGUAUUUACUGUUAUUUUUUACCUUGGGCCCCAAAACCCAAGAGAUUUGUUUUGUGCCAGGAGCCUUAAAAGAAUAUACAAAGGCUCUUUUCUUGUAAAAUCCUUGAUGAAUUACAAAUACUGACAGGAAUUUCUCAGCAGUGUUAAGUUGCCUGUUGAAGUCUACAAGCUUAAAAUCAGUGCUCUUCUUCUCUAUCAAUCUUCAUCUCUGCUUCAGUUACUAACAUAUGGUACAUCUCCAAAGGAAAUUAUCUCUCUAGGGAAGUUGCACCAGCCUUACUGCUUAAGUCAUGUAAAACUGGACCAGAAAAAAAGAGCAGUGGAAACUACACCAGGGGGAACAAUCCUGCUUUGGCAAGAAAAAGACUCAAAAAUGAAGGCUAUCAGUCACAAACAAAGAAGCAUUAAGUGCAUCAGACGUCUGCUGGUCCUCCAUCUCAUCGCCUUAGCAACAAGCUGUGUGGUGGCAGAACUGAUGAAGCUGAGCAGGACGCAUGGUUGAUUCAAGGACACCCCUCCUGAUUAAAAGUUAGAGCUUUUCUUCAAAGCACUUUUCUAUAAGAGAUUCUCAAAUUGAUGCAGAGGAAAUGCCUUGUGUUAAUUCCAGGGUCAGAAGAAAAAUAUUGUUCCUGGAUCUUGAAAGAAGAUUCAAUUAUGACUUGCUGUUUAAAGAGGCAUUUAAAUUAAAAAUUUUAAUCUAUUCAAGUGAAAAUUUAUUCUAAAAACAAUUUAGAUCCUUUUAUAAAAGCAGAUCUUACGUAUUCUGUAUUUAAAUGAAAAUGUUUGCAUUCUUUUUAGUUGUCUUAUUAAAUAUGAACUUUGGCACCAUUUUGAUUCAG